rnacentral:tRNA from 2 species
CAAUGCGGUAACUCAAUCCGGUAGAGUAAUAGAAGUCAACGCAGGUUCGAAUCCUGCACCGAUUAA